AAGACUAUAGACCUGCGGAGUACCUGCGGAAGGAUCAUUAUUGAAUUAUGUUUCUAAAUGGGUUGUAGCUGGCUCGUCAGAGCAUGUGCACGCCUGUUUGGACUUCAUUUUCAUCCACCUGUGCACCUAUUGUAGUCUUUGGUUGGGUAUCAAGGAAGUGGUCAGCCUAUCAGCUCUUGCUGGAUGUGAGGACUUGCAGUGUGAAAGCUUUGCUGUCCUUUACUUGAUCAUGGAGUUGUU
rnacentral:misc_RNA from 1 species